CAUAUUUCCUGAUAACCCUCUGAAGAAAUAGACAAACACCAAAACUCGAGGAAUUCUGUUAGAUAAAACCCUAAGUCUAGGUGUUGGUUGCAUUUCGAUCCUUUUCUUUAUUUAUUUGAUGAUUAAAUUUGGUACUUAAGGACCGUCAACAGUAGUAGGCUAUAGUAGAUAUUGGAAUAUUUUUGUUGGACUAACCCCUAUAGGAAAAUCUCAAAUACAAAUUGGGAAAGUCCUGAGAUGAACUCAUAUUGGAGAUGAAGGGAGACACGACUCAUGCAU
rnacentral:lncRNA from 1 species